rnacentral:rRNA from 1 species
AGGACCGCGUACUUUUUGUAGAACGGUCCGGCGAGUUUCUUGUACCGGCAAGGUUAAGCACUUAAGGUGCGGAGCCGAAGUGAAAGCAAGUGUUAACAGCACGCAUAAGUCAGUACAAGAAGACCCGAAACCGGGUGAUCUACCCAUGUCCAGGUUGAAGUCGCCGUAAAAGGCGAUGGAGGACCGAACGCACAUCCGUUGAAAAGGGUGGCGAUGAGGUGUGGGUAGGGGAGAAAUUCCAAUCGAACCCGGAGAUAGCUGGUUCUCCUCGAAAUAGCUUUAGGGCUAGCCUCGUAUUAGUCUUGCGGAGGUAGAGCACUGAAUAUCCUAGGGGGCGUCAAAGCUUACCGAAGAUUAUCAAACUCCGAAUGCCGCGUAGAUGAUGUACGGGAGUCAGACUGCACGAGAUAAGUUGGGUAGUCAAAAGGGAAAGAGCCCAGACCACCAGCUAAGGUCCCAAAGUGCGUGUUAAGUGGUAAAGGAUGUGGGAUUUCGAAGACAACUAGGAUGUUGGCUCAGAAGCAGCCAUACAUUCAAAGAGUGCGUAAUAGCUCACUAGUCGAGAGGUCCUGCGCCGAAAAUGUCCGGGGCUAAAACACGACACCGAAGCUGUGGAUCCGAAAGGAUGGUAGAGGAGCAUUCUUAAGUCGACGAAGCUGUACUGUAAGGAGCAGUGGAGAGUUAAGAAGAGAGAAUGCCGGAAUGAGUAGCGAGAUUUAAGUGAGAAUCUUAAAGGCCGAAUAUCUAAGGUUUCCAGGGUAAAGCUGAUCUUCCCUGGGUAAGUCGGGGCCUAAGGCGAGGGCGAGAGCCGUAGUCGAUGGAUAACAGGUUGAAAUUCCUGUACUGCUUAUGGACAGAACUGUGGGGACGCAGAAGGAGAGCACGAGCCGGAAAUGGAAAAGCCGGUACAAGCGUAUAGCAGUCAUGCAGGCAAAACCGCAUGAAAAAUGUAAAGCGUUAUGUGGAUCGAACAUUAGUAGAGAAGCGUGUGAGCCAGCUGCCAAGAAAAGCCGCUAUUGUUUCAUAAGUACCCGUACCGUAAACCGACACAGGUGGAUGAGGAGAGAAUCCUAAGGCCGGCGGGAGAAGUGUUGUUAAGGAACUCGGCAAAAUGACUCCGUAACUUCGGGAGAAGGAGUGCCACAGAGAUGUGGCCGCAGAGAAAUGGCCCAAGCAACUGUUUAGCAAAAACACAGGUCUAUGCAAAACCGAAAGGUGAGGUAUAUGGGCUGACGCCUGCCCGGUGCUGGAAGGUUAAGAGGAGAGGUUAGAGCAAUCGAAGCUUUGAAUUUAAGCCCCAGUAAACGGCGGCCGUAACUAUAACGGUCCUAAGGUAGCGAAAUUCCUUGUCGGGUAAGUUCCGACCCGCACGAAAGGCGUAAUGAUUUGGGCACUGUCUCAACAACACACCCGGUGAAAUUGAAAUACCAGUGAAGAUGCUGGUUACCUGCGCCAGGACGGAAAGACCCCAUGGAGCUUUACUCCAGUUUGAUACUGGGAUUCGGUACUGUCUGUACAGGAUAGGUGGGAGGCUAGGAAAUGGUGACGCCAGUUGCCAUGGAGCCAACCUUGGGAUACCACCCUUACAGUACUGGGUUUCUAACCUGCAGCCGUAACCCGGCUGGGGGACAAUGUCUGACGGGGAGUUUGACUGGGGCGGUCGCCUCCGAAAGAGUAUCGGAGGCGCUCAAAGGUUCCCUCAGAACGGUUGGAAACCGUUCGAAGAGUGCAAAGGCAGAAGGGAGCUUGACUGCGACACCGACGGGUGGAGCAGAUACGAAAGUAGGACUUAGUGAUCCGGUGGUAUAAAGUGGGAUUGCCAUCGCUCAACGGAUAAAAGCUACCCUGGGGAUAACAGGCUUAUCACUCCCAAGAGUUCACAUCGACGGAGUGGUUUGGCACCUCGAUGUCGGCUCAUCGCAUCCUGGAGCUGUAGCAGGUUCCAAGGGUUGGGCUGUUCGCCCAUUAAAGCGGUACGCGAGCUGGGUUCAGAACGUCGUGAGACAGUUCGGUCCCUAUCCGGCGUGGGCGUAGGAUAUUUGAGAGGAGCUGUCCUUAGUACGAGAGGACCGGGAUGGACAAACCUCUGGUGUAUCUGUUGUUUUACCAAAGGCAUGGCAGAGUAGCCAAGUUUGGCAGGGAUAAACGCUGAAGGCAUCUAAGCGUGAAGCCCCCCUCAAGAUAAGAUAUCCCAUCUUCGGAGUAAGACCCCUUGA